rfam:Clostridium sp. CAG:138 genomic scaffold, scf80
GGGAGUCGGGUCUGUGGUUGAAAGUCGAUGCCAGUCGCAGGCGAAACGAUCCACAUAAGCGGGGCAAAGUUCCCGUGAGCAUGGUGCGGCUUAGAUGUAAGUCCUGUCGUGCGGCAUUCCGAAUCGAAUGCGGUGCGAGAGUGGCAGUAGUGGGCGGCGUAAAGCUCAGUAGCGAACCCACCGACAGGCGAGUGUGGGGGCAAAAACCAGGUCAGCCGACUCCA